GACGAGCGCUGGCGGCGUGCUUAACACAUGCAAGUCGAACGGAAAGGCCCUUCGGGGUCCUCGAGUGGCGAACGGGUGAGUAACACGUGGGUGAUCUGCCCUGCACUUUGGGAUAAGCCUGGGAAACUGGGUCUAAUACCGAAUAGGACCACGCGCUUCAUGGUGUGUGGUGGCAAGCUUUUGCGGUGUGGGAUGGGCCCGCGGCCUAUCAGCUUGUUGGUGGGGUAAUGGCCUACCAAGGCGACGACGGGUAGCCGGCCUGAGAGGGUGACCGGCCACACUGGGACUGAGAGACGGCCCAGACUCCUACGGGAGGCAGCAGUGGGGAAUAUUGCACAAUGGGCGCAAGCCUGAUGCAGCGACGCCGCGUGAGGGAUGACGGCCUUCGGGUUGUAAACCUCUUUCACCAGGGACGAAGCGUAAGUGACGUUACCUGGAGAAGAAGCACCGGCCAACUACGUG
rnacentral:rRNA from 1 species